AUGACUAAGAUGAGCUUCCGGGUGUCGUUUGAAAUCCCUUGGGUCUGCCUGCAAAUACGGCCUGAGUUAGGUGUGGUGGCAUUCCGAAUCCACACGCGUUGGAGGCUGAUUCUGUCGACAGCUCCAGGCUGUUAUCUCCCGCCCUCUUUUGAGGUCUACACAUUUCAGAAAAAUGAUCCUAGAAGAAACUGAAGCUCCAGCAGUUUGAAUGUCUAGAGUCACCUCCGUGCUUGAACAUCUGGAAGUUCACAGAACCACGUUUACCUCCUCUGAAAUUAAACUCUGAAUACUCUCAUAGCUCUGUUGCCAGCCAUGGAGGGAAAGAGAGACAAUCCAGUAUAAACAAAAUAGAGGACUUCCCUGGUGACUCAGUGGUAAAGAGCCUGCCUGCUAAUGCAAGAGACACUGGUUCGAUCCCUGGUCUGGGAGGAUCCUGCAUGCCUCGGAGCAACUAAGCCCAUGUGCUACA